rnacentral:lncRNA from 1 species
AUUUUGGUAAAGUAGUUUCACUCGUGGUGAGAUUAGAUGAGUUAUUCGACUAUGUGUCGAAUAUCGUGAUUUCAAUGGGAAACACGAUUAAGUAGUUGGAUUAAGUUGAGACCUGUGAAUCUUUUAAUCAGCUUCUAGUAUUGGUGCAUGAUAUAGAUUGAGUAGCAUCUAAGGAAGUUAUAGUCUUCUGUGAUAGAAAAGGUUAUGAAGAAUUUGUUCAGUUGUUUUUCCUGCGAACUCUGCAAGGAAGAUAAUGAUUGAUCAGGAAGAUGAAUUAAAAAGGAUUGAGAUGAGA